rnacentral:rRNA from 1 species
CCUACGGGUGGCAGCAAUCGAGAAUCAUUCACAAUGGGGGAAACCCUGAUGGUGCGACGCCGCGUGGGGGAAUGAAGGUCUUCGGAUUGUAAACCCCUGUCAUGUGGGAGCAAAUUAAAAAGAUAGUACCACAAGAGGAAGAGACGGCUAACUCUGUGCCAGCAGCCGCGGUAAUACAGAGGUCUCAAGCGUUGUUCGGAAUCACUGGGCGGAAAGCGUGCGUAGGCUGUUUCGUAAGUCGGGUGUGAAAGGCGCGGGCUCAACCCGCGGACGGCACAUGAUACUGCGAGGCUAGAGUAAUGGAGGGGGAAGCGGAAUUCUCGGUGUAGCAGUGAAAUGCGUAGAUAUCGAGAGGAACACUCGUGGCGAAGGCGGGUUCCUGGACAGUAACUGACGCUGAGGCACGAAGGCCAGGGGAGCGAAAGGGAUUAGAUACCCCAGUAGUC